UUUGUAAAAUAAUUUUUUUUAAAUAAAAAAAUUUAAAAACUGCAUCUUAUAGGAAAAUCUAUUAUAAUAUUAACUACAAUAAGCUGUUUUUUUCUAAGUAUUUUUUAUUUGAAUUGAUCCCAUAAAGACGAGAUAACACAUUAUUUGCCCUAAUUUGGUUGUAAGAUUAUUAGUUGUCUAUCAGUGGGCUGUUUCCCUUCUUUCUUAGUUAUAGGUAAGUAUCUCGGCAAUAUACGUAGCUAACAACAUUUCCCAACCAUCCCUGCUAGUAAAGACAGCCAAGUGAAACCUAUUGAAUUGGGCUUUUGGAAAAGCUAUUUAAAGGGGGCUUGCUUUUGCCUCAAUCUCCUCCUUUAAUGGCUGGAGAUGCAGCAGCCAUCUGGUAAUCAGGAGGCAACCUGGUGUUUUAAAGCCACACGUUAAGGGUGGUGGGGCAGAAAGACAGAAGUCUAGUACAUUGAUGGUAUCAUGAGCCAUUAUACUGGCCCUCAAUUGCUGAACCCAGGACAUUUUUCAAUGGAAAAAACAAACAAACCCUGAUUCGUUGAAACCACCAGUUUAUGAUUGUCCAUUAUAGGCAGUCAAAUGCAAUUCCUGAUUCAUCCAUGUAUAUACACUUUACAGAUAGCACCUAGGUAAUACUAUUUGAGGGGAGAUGAAAAGAUCCCCAGUUUUUUCAAACACACUUUUUUCCUUGGUAUUAUGAAGUAUAUAUUUACUAUAAAGUGUAUCAUGCCAGUAUUCAUUCUUUGGAAAUAGGGAUUAAAAGCAUUCGUUAAAAUGCAAGUGUUAUCUGAGAGGAGUUACACUUUAAGCUCUCCAUAUAAUUGAAUAUCUUGUUGUGAAUUAAUUUAUUAAUUAACUUCCAUGAUUGGGUAGGUCCCAAGGGGAUGGAACAUAAAGACAGAUAAGUUUGAAGACUAGUCCAGAAAAGGAGCAAUGUCAGGCUACUAUAGUAAGAAUCACUACUCCCUUCUCUAGUGCCCUGCCCCCCACCUCCUGACCUCCAUCCCAUGACACAGUUCCCACCCCAAAAAGACUGAUGGGCAGCCUUAGAGGUAGAAAGCACAAGAAACAAAAGGAGAUACAGAACCUGAAGGCAAACUUCUAUUACUCUAUUAUGUAAGGCUGCCACAACCACCCCUCUGUAUGGGAGUACUUUACCCUAUAAAAAAACUCCACAGUUAACUAAUAAACAGCACUGGUAGAUAAGUCAUUCAGCUGAUAAUUGAGUCACUUCUCUAUCUACCAACUGCUGUGAAAGAAAGGACAAAACUUGUGUCAGGGAGCAGCUAAAGCAUGGGACCAGUUCAAGGGGACUAGAUUUACCUAAAGUUUGGUCUAGUGGACAACCGAUCAUUUCAGGAACUCAAACACAUCUCCAAAUGCUUGUUGUUUUCCAGGCUCUGCGCUAGAAACCAGAGAUUUGGCAAUGAUGAUGAUAAUGUCUUGUCCUCAGAAAACUUAGCAAACUUCUACAGCACAAGGGCAUUGGCCCUUCUGCACAAGUGUGAUUUCUGCCCAGCAUGGUAAGAAACUGUAAACCACAACGGGGCAAGGCCAGGUAAUGAUGGGGCACGCGCCUCCAAGUCAUUGGAUUUGGUUCUGUAAGCAGCUGAAGAGCCCCCGAUGUCAUCAGGUAAGGCAGCUCCGUGGUCAGAUCUGUGGGCAAAUGGAUUGAAUGAUGGCAAAAUCUGAAGAUAAGGAGGCCAUUUCAGAAACUCUUCUCUGCAGUCCGUGUGGGAGAUAAUCAAGUCUGAAUGACUGCAGCUGUGGUGGGGAGGUAGUGGAAAGGGCAGGUGAGGUAGAAACAAAAUGACUUGGUGACCAACUGGCUUUAGAGUAGAGGAAGAGGUAGAAAAAGUCAAGGAUAAUUCCCUGGCUACUGACUUGAGAAGAUACCGGUCUCCAUGUCACAUCAUCCUAUCAGCUUCCAAUUUUGAAUUCUGGCUUCCUGAGAAUGGUCACUGGGGCUUUGCCAUCUUCCCUUUGUCCUAAGGAAUGUCCCUAGGGGCUACUGACUCUAGAGGCAGAAACACAGAGGCAGCAACCACCAGCUGAGUGGUGAUGAUGAGAGGGAAGCACCAGCCUCGUCUAUAUAACCUUCAGCAACCAGCAGCUCUUUACAUGAUGUUCAGUUUAAUUCGGUACACAAAUAAUUAGGUCAAAUGUAGUUAUUAUGGACCCCGGUAGUACAAGGCACUAUGGAAAAUAAAAGCCAAGUGCAAGAGCAGGUUUCUUGAGAGUUAUACAGGAAAGCCAUGCAGUGCAAAGCAAAGAUUUUGUGGUUAGUCAGGUGCAAGUCUGACUUCUGGCUCCAUUACUGUCACUGGUUGUGUGACCUUGGGAAACUGAUAUCCUUGACACUUGAUUGCCUCCUCAGUGAAAUAUAUAAAUAAUAUAGCCCAUCUCAUCUGUAAAAAUUAAUGAGAUAUAUAUGUAAAAUUCCUACCAGCACCAUGCCUAACUUACCAUAGGUUCAAAAGGUAAUAAUAAAGUAAAUAUCCUUCUUUAUUUCCCAUCCCCUUUGACUACUCAAAGACCUCUAGCCUCCAAUAGAGUCUAGUUAUCACCAAUGGGUAUUUCUCUCUACAUCCCUCACUCCCAUCUGCACCGAUGUCUAUUGUUAGAAAAAUGAAGCUACUACAAGCAAAAUAGGAUGAUAUCUAUAUCAGAGAGUGUUGCAGUCCAUCCAAUAUUCACCUUUCCUUUCCUCCUCAUUAAUGAGUGCUGAUUUUGCUGGGGGUAGCAAAGUACCAAGCUAAAAACAUGUUCCAGGCUCCAUUGCCAUUAGGGGUAGCCAUGUGACACAUUAGGGCCAAUAAAUCUUACUAGAGAGGUUUUGGAAAGUUUCUGGUCACAGGCACUUUUUUUCUUAAUGUUUGUUUAUUUUUUCACUUUUUUGAGAGAGAGAGAGAGAGAGAGAAAAUGAAUGAGGAUCCCAAACAGGGUCCACACUGUCAGUGGAGAGUCCAACUCAGGGCUCCAUCUCAAGCACCAUGAAAUCAUGAACUAGACCGAAAUCAUGAACUAGACCGAAAUCAAGAGUGGAUGCUUAACUGAUUGAGCCACCGGCACUUUUAUUCUCCUUUCACCAUCCUUCCUUUCCCCAACUUCCUGGAAACUGGAUAUAAUGGAUGGAGCUGCGAAAGCUAUCUUGCAAACCAUGAGGAAAAGAUCGAGAUUCAUAGGACAUUGGCCUUGAUAUGCUUGAGUUCCUAAAACAGUGCCUCCACCACCUUCCAAGAGCCUUGUCAUUACAUGGGACAAAUAAAGCCCUAAAUUUAA